CGGGAUCUGUAGUCGCGACAGCGCUGCGUCCUCCGCGCUCGGCGGCCGCGGGGCUGGGGUUUGUCGCCUCCUCACGAAACGCCCUACUGAAACGCCCGGAGGAAAAGGGUUCCCUCCUGGGGUGGGAAGCUCGAAGUCGGGGAAAGUGCCCGGGGAAAGGGGGUGACGGAGGCGAGGCGAAGGGCUCCCCGCGGGCGGCGCCGCUGUGGUAAACACCGGGCGGCGGGAAGAUGGCGGGCCGGGCCGGCGGUCGGGCCACGGCAGGUGACAGGCCGGGCGCCGGCUGCUGACCGGGGACUGCUCCCCGCGUCUAUAUAUAUAUACUUAAUAAAAAUGUCCCCACGCGGCAGUCUGCCCGUGGGUGUUGGUGAGGGUCUGUGGGCUGGUUCUGGGUGGCCGCGGGGAGUCCGGCGCAGGGCCGGUCCUGAGGGGAGCAGGGUCCCCCCCCGGCCCGCAGGCAUCUCGGGCCUUCCUGACAGGAAAUAUUUUAAAAUUCCCUUCUUACCUGGUGUUUUGACAGUGUCGAAAUGCAACGAGCCAGCAAGAUAAAGACAGUUCUAUUUCUGCCUUUCUUUUAUGUGGAAAGGUUGGAACAUUUUUAUGUUCCCAGCCCAUGGCAGGGGGGUUGGGACUAGAUGAUCAUUAAGUUCCCUUCCAGCCCGAACCAUUCUAUGAUUCUAUGUUUGCUCUCCAGAUUACAUUUAUAACUUUUGCUUCAGCAAAGUAGAAUAAUUUGAGGUGUGUGUAUGUAUAGCCUUAUAGCAUAAUAACUAUACAAAGUAAAGUCUUUUAAAGUGUAAUUUUACUGGUGCAGAACUACACAGCCUUUACUGAUGGAGUUGAUCCGAUAAAACUUGGUCACACAGACGAAUGAUAAAGGUCCAUGCUGAGAAGCAUAACCCGGCACUACUUCCAAAUUGCCUGUUUUCUACUCCUCAUUCCCACCCGCUGUAGUACAUUGUGCCUGCAGUCGCAUGAGCACAACCGCUUGCUGGACGACACAUCGAACCAGCUCAGGGAGCUGAUUGAGCCCUUAGAAAAACUGUGUUUUUUCCUCUCAGUUGAUUCAAUUAAGCUGGCUUUGUGACCGAAACAAACCUACAUAAAAGCUUGGUCUUCCUGUGGUGGUGUAAGAUAUUACUGUUUUAGAUAUCUGAUGGCCAAAGGUUACUACCUCUGUACCAGAAUUAGCAAAUGGCAUGCUACCACCCUCAGCCCAUCAACUCAUCAUCUUCCUAAUGAAAGCAAGUUUUGAGCUACGACGUAGGACCCUGAACUGUAGCUGCUGCAGUUGAUGUUCAUGGAGCCUAACAUGGAACUGACGUAAGGACACAUCAAGGAACUGGGAAACGGCAUCAAUUCUGUGCUGAGGUAGUGAGGCUUGAAAACCUCCCACUGCACAUGAAUAUUGAAGACUGGGCACCCCACACAAGUGCAUCAGCUGUCAGAGAUCAGUCUCCUCUCCAGGUCUGUGCACCAGCUUCCGUAAGCAAGCUAAUCAAUCAGCCCUGAAGAACCACAAAGAUGCCUGCUUUUCUUGCUUUAAUCCCUUUCUUCCUUCUCCUUUUCCUUCUCCAAGCCUACCAAAAAGCAGCGUAAAAGGGAAAUACAGAAACAAGAUAGAUAGAUACAUACAUACAUACAUAGAUGGGGCACAGACAUCACCAAGGAUAACUGUGACUUGGAUCAUCAUGCAGUCUUUUCAUGCCACCUUGUUUCAUUUCCGUCUGCUUCAGGAAGGUUGCUUAGUUUGCUCAGCAGUUGCCCUGGCAAACCCGCUGCCAGUGCCAGGUGGCAUGUAACUUUAGAAAAGUGAUAACCUGCAACUAAGCAACCAAUGGAUGAAGUCUUAAAUGUGGAAUGGUCAUCUUCGCUCUGCUCGUUUAUUCACAAAACAGUUACAGAGGACUUGAUUAGGAGAGAAGGCAAGAUGAUGAUUUAUUACAUUUGAAUCUCAUGCAUUAUUGCCUCACAUUGAAAGGACCCUGUUAUCAACCUGGCCUGGUCCAUAGUCUGUCACUGCACUGUCAUAAACUGUUGUGGACUAGCAAGUGUAACGGUGACCUUUCAUUCGGGUUAACUGAUAAGAAGGAUAUACAACUACAGAAGGAAAAAAAAGCCCCCCAAACAAGGCACGUGUCUCUAGCCAAAACAAUGGCAUAUACGAAACGAAGAAAUUAGAAAUAACUGGGUGGAGAACUUUGCCUAGCAUCGUUUGCAUAUGCAUAUGUACCUGUGAGAGCUGCCAGACAGUCCUGAGCACAAACCCAAUAGCACUGGCGUUAUCUCUGUCAGCCCAGCAAAUGUUUCAUCUCUGUGCUAUGAACCCAGAAACCUAAACUUUCAGCAGCAAAAGCAGUGCUUUAACCGAGACUUUUGAUCUGAAACUCAAGCUGUCUGGGUUAAAUGCAGACAUCUGACCAAUCUAGCGUGUGUGCGUGAGUGUGUAUUUGUGUAGCUGUAGGAGAGGCGGAAAAAGAGAGAGAGACGCAGGGCGAAUUACUCACCCUAUAGAUAGAACAGGAAGUUGCAACCAAAAUCCGCAGAAGAAAAUUGUGGUUGUAUUUUAACAAUCCAUACAAGUGGAUUUUAUCCAUCCUUGGAUAAAAAUAAGUAGGUUACAUGCAGCUUCUCUGCUAUUAAUCUCAUUUUGCCUUGCCGUGCACUACUCCAGCUGCUGCAGGGAAGGAAGACAGCCGGUUUUUUAUGUUCAAAGGUGUCUUCUCAUGUUCCCACAAGGUAAGCAUGUGUUAACUGGUAAAUGUGUUUCCCAGCGUGUAUACCAUGGUUAUGCCCAGUCAAUGGGCGGGUACCAAAUAUCCUAGUUUACCAGGCUUUGGAGGUUUCCCUGAAGGCUGGCGUGGAGCACAGGCUCACCCCAAAGCUGUUUGGCUGCAGUGUCUGCGUGGCUUGCAGCUAUGUUCAAAACCCAGUGUGUAUCUACCCAAAACCGUGUUCCAGAAAGAAAUCAAAGAACUGGGGUGGGAGUGAAGGCUGAAAGAACCCUAGAGCUCCGACUAAGGGCAUUGUCUCCUAUGGUUUGAUUCCUCCUUCAUCCAGCAAAACAAGACUGUGCAUUCCUUGUAGCUUGGUGUGACUAUGUUACGAUUAUAGCUCACUUUGGCACCAGUUUUCUCCUCCCUUUUUCAAUAAUCUGCAAACUCUUAGAUUUUAAACUACCUGUUUGGAGUAACAUAUUCGUCACAGUGGUGUGUAAUUACUAAUGUAUUACUGUAAUUAUAAUUAAAUUAUGAUCAAUAUAUCCUGUAUGUGAAACCUCAAUGAAUUUUAUCUGUACUGAGAGCCUGUAAAGUUUUUGUAAUCAAGAUCAUUUAGGAUGAAAAAUAGAUGUUACCAUUCAUAGAUUUUAAAAUAAGACUCCUGAAAUAUAUUUUAAGUGCAGUUGGUUGGAAUUUUUCUAAAAAUGGUGUUUCAAUGGAAAAUGCUGUUCCUGUAAAAGUUAAAUUUUCUGCACGAAACGGUUUUGCCAAAGUUUUUCUGCUUUCUUAAAAAACCAAUGUACUGGUAAACUUACAGAUGUAGAAAUGUCCUUACCAUUGAAGACAGUACAACCCGGGGUAGGGACCCAGCCCAUGAAAGAACUGGAGCAUGGAGUAUAAAUGCCAGGAAGCUACUGAACAGCUUAAGGGUACACAUAAAAACUAAAUCCAAAUGAAACAUUUGUCUUUGAUGUGACAAACUGAAAUGCAAUGCGCCUUUCCGCAAAUGUCAAAAUCUUCCAUGCUGGUUGAAAGUAGUUACAUACCGGAAUAUCAGCGUCAGGUACUUUUUGUAUACUUUGACCCUCAAAACAUUUUGGUAUUUAGUCACUUUUGUUUCCAAAGGGAAUAAAAUUAAUCAUACUGGGUUUUCUGGCAGAUCCCCAGUUACAAUUUGACCACUUCGAUUAUAAGUAACAAACUAACAAACAGCAAUCCUCAUGGAUUCUCAAAAUAGUCCAUUUGAACAUAAAGGACAUUGUGGACAGUAAUCUGAGGAAGAUGCAUUGUAUCCUUUGUAUACAACAAAUAAAUCAACUUUCUGAUUUAAACCUGAAAAAAUAAUGUCAUUUUAAAUGAGUCAUAAAGACCUGAUCAGUGUCUGUAUAAGAUGUUCCAUUCAUACUAGUUAAGUGGCGUGUGACUGCUGGAUUUCUUGACAUUUGCUUCUAUUACUCUCAGUUAGGCAAUGACAGACUUCUCUUCUAUACUUAUCACUGAAAUUACUACUACUACAAUUUAAUUUUACCUGGCUUGCUUAGUUUUUAUUUAUUUACUUGCCAUCUUCUGGGACUCAUUGCACAAUAUUGCUAAAACGCUCUAAAUGUGGCAUUUCUUACACAGCUAAUAAAUAUUUUGGAUCAUAAUUACUGAGUUUCAUAAUCAGUGCAUAAUUUGGAUUCCUCUCUAACUGUAACAUACACACACACGCACACACCGUGCGCACACAGUUUCCAUACAUAGAAGAAACUUUGUUCUUGCUGCUGCACUUACUGUAGCAGCAUUCAGGCUUAAAGUGGUUUUUGGGUAUUGCUGACAUGCAACGGAAACGAAAAUAAGUGUGUGCAUUAUAAACAGCAACAUCAUCCUCUACCAAGAGCAGUUCUAAGAAGAAAACAGCAGUGGAAUACUGUCCAGACUUAAAAUUUUUCUGUUGGACUUUUUAAAAUUUUCAUAUAAUUAAAGAUAUACUCUGUUGGUUGAGGUAUUUUGUUUGAUUCUUGUGAAUGUAAAAAAAAAGUGGGCUUCAGAAUACAAUGAAUAUUUCCUGCAAUUAUUAAAAUAAAUAGCAUAUGGGCCCCAAAUAAAUUGCUGUGUGUCCUUUCCAUAGCUACUUUUCAAUAGUUUCACCGUCAAUCACUGAGAGGCCUGAUGACUGUUACUUGUACACGUCGCUUUUAAUGCAGGAACGCUGAUUUCAGUAGGAUACCUGCUUUGCACCGUUGGACAUAAGAUCAGGAAAAUCAGGAGCUGUUUUCCAUCUGUAUCUUUUGACCGUGUUAAAAUUGGACAUAGCAUUUCUAAAGCGGGAAUUUUUUCUACCUCGUGACUGGGCUGUACGUGUGGCACAAGGUGACACGGGUCUGGUUUGCUGCCGGCCAGCAGCCAGCUGCAGCACUACGCUGGGCUGCGCUGGGGGAACCUCAUUUGCCUCUUUGUGACAAAGCUUUCGGCGAGGGUAUUCCCCAGGCACGGCCGCCGCAGCACAUCUGAAAUGGAAAUACCAGCAGCAGAAGAUGGGCUGGGAGAGGUGGAAACCUAGCCGAAGAUUGGAUUACAGUGUUUAGAAAGUAUGCUGUAAUACGUAACUCCUGAUAGCUUCAACUAUGUACUCGUGGGGUAUCAGCAGCUGAAAUAUGAAUCCAGCAUCUGGGACAGCCUGAGACCAAUAAGCAGCUAAUUUACAAUGACUUUCUCUUCUCUGUUGGGCAAAUAAAAAUAGAAGAUACUUACUGUGGUACUUACAGACCCUAACAUAUCUACUGUUUAGUGUUCAGAGAUACCCCAUUUUAAGCAAAAAUGAUAGAUGCACAGUUGUGCUAAAGUUUGCAGCUUUAUCUUUCAGGUCCAGCACUAAUUCCUGUGCUUUUCUCCUUCCGCAGCAUUUAUACCCUGGUCUAGUCCAAUCCCAACAAGCCCGUAAGAAAAAAAGACACAUUCCCUCCACCUUUAUGAACACAAUUCACCCUCGCAGGCUACUAAGCCCCAUUUAGUCCAGCAGCAAGCCCGGCUCGCGGUUGCAAUCGUUUUGCUAGUUGAGUUCGUUAUUCUUACAUUUUGCUGGCGUGGCUUUGUAUUACAGGAUUGACAGCUACAAAGCACCUGGGGAGGAAUAACUUUUCCCCUUUUUCCUCCUCUGGCUAAACAGUUUCACAAGUUUAGUUUGUUAGGUAAUUCUCAAGGACUUGGAUGUUUUGAUUAGCCUCUGGCUAAGUGUUGAAACUUUGUAGCCCCCACUGGAGAAGGGAAGCCUUCCACCUCACACUCGUCCCCGUCAAUCACGGGGAGGACUCUCACUUCACUCUCUGAAGUAGUCACGUAGUUACUCCACGUUUUGUGCAUCCAGGACGUAUAAGUGAAUUAACGGCAUUUCACCUGAAAGGACCAGUCUGCUCCGAUUAAACUGCUCUUCCAGGAACAACAGCGUGUUUCAAACCACUCGGCUUCCCCAGCUCAUCACAACUCUUAAUGGAAGGAUGAUCAGAAGGCAGUCGUUACAGCAGGGCUGCAGCCCUGAACAAAAGGAAGGCUAGUGGACACAGA